UACAGAGGGUGCAAGCGUUAUCCGGAUUCAUUGGGUUUAAAGGGAGCGUAGGUGGCCUUAUAAGUCAGUGGUGAAAUCUCUCAGCUUAACUGAGAAAUUGCCAUUGAUACUGUAGGGCUUGAGUACAGAUGCCGUUGGCGGAAUAUGACAUGUAGUGGUGAAAUACAUAGAGAUGUCAUAGAACACCGAUUGCGAAGGCAGCUGACGAAACUGUAACUGACACUGAGGCUCGAAAGUGCGGGGAUCAAACAGG
rnacentral:rRNA from 1 species